UACGUAGGGGGCGAGCGUUGUCCGGAUUUAUUGGGCGUAAAGAGCGCGUAGGCGGUUCGGUAAGUCUGUCGUGAAAUCCUGAGGCUCAACCUCGGGCGUGCGAUGGAUACUGCCGGGCUAGAGGGUGGUAGAGGCGGAGUGGAAUUCCCGGUGUAGCGGUGAAAUGCGCAGAUAUCGGGAGGAACACCAGUAGCGAAGGCGGCUCGCUGGGCCACACCUGACGCUGAGACGCGAAAGCUAGGGGAGCGAACGAGG
rnacentral:rRNA from 1 species